CCUCCGUUCUUCUGCAGUUAUUAAUAUUUUUCAAUUUUCUCAAUCCUUAACCAGCCAAGUCGCGUGAGGGCAGACGGCCCUACGGGUUGUAAACCUCUUUUGCCGGGGAGCAAGCCUGAGCACGUGUGCCCAGGCGGAGAGUACCCGGAGAAAAAGCAUCGGCUAACUCCGUGCCAGCAGCCGCGGUAAUACGGAGGAUGCGAGCGUUAUCCGGAUUUAUUGGGUUUAAAGGGUGCGCAGGCGGGCUGUUAAGCCGGCGGUAAAAAUUCAGGGCUCCACCCUGUCGAGCCGUCGGAACUGGCAGUCUUGAGUGGGCGAGAAGUAUGCGGAAUGCGUGGUGUAGCGGUGAAAUGCAUAGAUAUCACGCAGAACGCCGAUUGUGAAGGCAGCAUACCGGCGCCCAACUGACGCUGAGGCACGAAAGCGUGGGGAUCGAACAGGAUUAGAUACCCUGGUAGUC
rnacentral:rRNA from 1 species